rnacentral:lncRNA from 1 species
UAGGUGUGUGCCUCAAAAUAUCAAAGAAUUAAAAUAUUAAAAUAUCUGGGCUAUGGCCCCCACAUGACAUGUAUGCAUAAUUUGCAUAAUUUGUUUGGGAACAACUGAAAUUGAUUUGUUAUGGAAUAAAUAUUUAUUCAGUUAAUAUAUUUAAAUUAUUGGCUUUUUUCUUAGAUAAUCACCGAAGUUCCAGUAAAGCAAAACUAUUUUCUAUGAAACUUCUAGAAACACCCUCCUCCCAGAUGUGAUCUAAAGCAACGCUUCCCAUUGGUUUGCUUGAUUUACAGUCCCGCCCACUUCAUUUGCCAGAUUCGUGAUUGGACAGCGUUCUAGCGGCGUCUCUAGAGCGUCUCCGGUGAUAGGCUAUAAUGAAAUAGCGGGGAAAAGGUGCAGGUUCAAACAUAUUAAUACAAAAGGUAAUGUGACCACAGUGCGUCCGGAAAAAAGCAGCUAGCAACAUUACGGGAUUUGUUUUGGCCUGUGUCGGUGAAAACGUAACGUUGACGGGAUGGACGCUUUCCCCCAUAACGGAGAAGUUGCGGAAGUUUCCGACAAACUGGAGAAGUCUUUAUCCAUGGACACAGGUGACAGGAUGGAAACUUACCAAAGGUAAUGUUAGCCGUUCACAUUGUUUCAGCGUAAACUCAAAACAAUUUAAAAUUACAAUAACCCAAAUAAUAAUCAAAUAGUAAAAGCAAAAUUGUCCAUCACAAUAGAGGACAGAGAGGAAACAUAAAAAAGUCAACAGUUUAGCAUAGCUGCAGCCAGAGCCAGCCCUGGCUGCAGCAGUGUGUUUAAUCAAAUAGUGACCCUAUUUCAAUUUAAGUUAGUAGUUAACAGUUAAUACUUAAAUUUGCAAGUAUCAAGAGGAGUUGGCACCCAUCACUUUGUUCACCUACUUCAGACAACCAACCCAAUGACAGUUGACUGUCAUUGGGUUGGUUGGCAUCCGGUAACAGGAUGCCAGAGUGUCACUUUUUCACGUCACUGGUCUCUCGGUGUAAUAUGUCUGGACAACUCUAAAUAAGAUGAAGUCUGGAACCCAACCUGAAACAUAGUGGCCUGCCUUUUAUAUCUUUUUGCUUUCAGUUAAGUCAUAAACAAAAGUAAAACCCAGAUGCCCAGACUUCAACAAACAAUUUAAGAUGAUUUUCAAUUAAAGGCUGCAGCCAGUUUGUCCUGAAGCUAAUUCUAUGUUUAGGUUAAGAGAUUUAUUUGUAGCAUAUUAAAUGAGAAUCUAGUUAUAAACCUUUCAGCUAAUCUGAGUGUUCAUUUCACACCAACCUCAAAUAGAAAAAUAUCAGUUUACUCUCUAACAUUAUUAAAGAAUGGCUCUGGUUACUGCACUAUCAUCCUAUUUAACCUCUGCAUUUCUUUUCUUUUCAGAUUCAUUCGAGAGGGCAAAG